rnacentral:lncRNA from 1 species
UAUUACUGUAUGCAAUUAUUUUAAGAGUGAAUUCCCCACCUAUUUUAAUUCAUGUUUUACUGUUGCCAUGCAGUUUUUUCUUAUGUUUACUGCCAGACUAAUGAGUUAGCUUCUGGUUAGAGAACUCACAAGCUUGUGCUUUUUGACAGGCAAAAAGCCUGUCCGUCCUCCUCAGCUGGACAAUGAUAAUGACAAUGCCAGUACCAAUGCCAAAGCCAAGGACAAUGCCAAGACUGGAGACGAGGCUGGAGCAAGCAUCGGAAGUGUGCCGCUGGUGUCUUCAGCCCCCUGUACUGACGCAUUUGGGGUGAAACGCAUCAUCAGGGGGUUGUUUGAGAAAAUACGGCCUGGAUUCCCUAGAGACGACACAGGAGAGCUGGAACUGGUGCCUGAGUCCCAGCUCACUGAAUUGACCCUGAAACUCACUGAACAUGUGAUGAAGAAAAUAAAAAAGGUGGGUGGCAUGAAAGAGAUGGCCUAUGACAGGGUCUCAGCGGGUGAAUCUUUUGACCUGAGAAAUGUUUCAACUGAGAAAAGAGAGAGGUUUGCCCCUGAGUCUUCUAAAAAGCCAAAGGAGUCCAUUGUACCAAGAGAGCUGGAUGUUGACGAACAACACCAUGCUAAUGCAGCAAAGAAGAAAUCCCUUAAAGCAAAAAAGAAACGCUCCCUGGAGGCUGAGACUUCAACAUCCAAAUCUCUUCGGCAGCCUUCUGAGCAUGAAAUAAAGCCUCUUGAGCUGAGUUCAGCUGUGAUGCAGAGCGAACCAUGCCACAAUGCCAGCGCCAACCGUGGUAACUUCUAUGAAAUUCAGGGCACAUCCUCAAGUUUCAACAGCCCUGGAAAGAGGGAACUCAUGCAACUGAGGGAUAAGAACAGCAUCCCACAAACUGUAAGGAAGAAGAUCUUCGAGAAGGAAAGUGGCCCUCCAGAGAGAUAUCAAUGGAGGCAGCCUCGCAGUGCUAUGCCAGGAGUCUCUGCUCCUCAACCAAACCCCAGGGAGAAGCCACCAAAGUCAUCUGUGCUGACCAGGGUGUCUGCUGCACUGGCCCGAGUGUUUCAGAAGAACAAAUAG